AUAUCAUCAGUAGCACCGGUUACCCGUGCAUCCCCUGCUCAGGCUAACAUGGUCGCGCCUUUCACCGGCCUCAAGUCCAUCGCAUCAUUCCCCGUCACCCGAAAGCUUGAGAAUGACAUUACCUCUAUUACCAGCAACGGAGGAAGAGUUCAAUGCAUGAAGGUAUAUAUCUAUACUACUUAAUACUCAGAUAUAUUAUGUGCUAAUGAGGAACCAGUAUAACAUGGCAGAACAUUUCUUAGUUAGUUAUUGCUCAUUUGCUCUCAAAGUAGCACAAUUCUAAGUCAGAUAAAGCAGUCCUAGGUAACUUUAGAGUGAGUAACUUCAGAAUUUUCCUUGAAUAUGUCAAUAAUAUACAAAAAUUAUGUCAACACCUCGAUUAAAAGAUUGUUUUGCUUGUAUUUUCCUCCUGAGCUGAUCUGAGAAAUUUUGUUCUCAAGUCAAACAAUUAGAGACUUUAGCUCAAGAGAAAUGUCACCCCCUGGCAUUGUAGCCUGCGGGAUGUCCUCUAUAUUUUACCAUAGUAACCAUGUCGCCCCUCAAGUGAAGUAGAAUUUAAUUCAAUAAUGAAAUUGAACUACCCAGUAGAGGAAAUUUCUAGUUUUUUUGUAUAAUUUCCACCUUAGCUUGCUCUUAGUAACCCCCCUCAGUCUCAUUAAAUAGUCGGAAAUGUAUAUUCUUAUGAAGACAUGAUCACGUUCUUCAAAUUUUGCAAUCCAACACUGUUUCUAGACAAAUAUACAAUCUGUCGGUUUGUAAUUGAGUAAAUAUGACAUUCACAAAAUAUAUCAAGGAGAACACACCUUGGUUCUGAAAGUGAAUGAUAAAUUAGUUAGGUAACAUAUGUGAAUGGUGCAAGUGCAGGUAUGGCCACCAAUUAACAUGAAGAAGUUCGAGACACUCUCAUACCUUCCUCCUCUCACCACCGAACAAUUGGCAAAGGAGGUCGACUACCUUCUCCGUUCCGGAUGGGUUCCUUGUCUGGAAUUCGAGUUGGAGGUAAGCACUUUCUUCCUACACAUUUUUCAUGUUCUCUGUUACAUGUUUCUUGACAUUGCUGAUGACAAUUGUGUGUUAAACCAAUAUGCAGCACGGUUUCGUGUACCGUGAGCACAACAAAUCUCCCGGAUACUAUGACGGACGAUACUGGGUUAUGUGGAAGCUUCCCAUGUUCGGGUGCACCGACUCAUCGCAGGUGUUGAAGGAGCUUGAUGAGUGCGUCAAGGAGUACCCCCAGGCGUACGUCCGUAUCAUCGGAUUCGACAACGUUCGCCAAGUCCAGUGCAUCAGUUUCAUUGCUCACCAGCCAGAAUGCUGAUCAAUCUGUCUGUUGAUUUCAUAUAUUUAUCAAUCUUGUUCGGCUCAUAUAUAAACUUCUUGCAAUCUCAUUUCAUUUCUUUCCGUUUUAAAUUUCUUACUUGUAUCUCCAACACAAGGAAAUUGGAACUAUAGAGGAUUAUAUGUAGCGAUUGUUGGUGAUUAUAUAUAUCUACUUGUUUGUUUUCCCUGCACCUUCUAAAUACUUGCAUCAUAUGCUUUCAUGUCGUGAUGUACUUUUUUAUAUAUCUCCGAUUCUCCAUGCAGUAAUUAACCACUACGGUCUUUUUACACCAACAAAUUAUAUGAUAACAUAUAGAAACAGUUCAUUGCUUCCGUAAUAUCUGCCUUGGUACAUGUUCUCUUGUAUCACUACAAAACCUUUCACGUCCAACAAUGUGAAAGCAAAUUCUCUGUAAUAGAAAUGGACAUCUGCUAGCGACAUUUCAGAUAAUAAUAAAGUGUACUUAUGCACCAUCUGGUUGGAAGGAAUGAACGGGAAAAACAUGAACAAAAUCAAAGGUAAACGAGAAGUAUACAAGAGUGAAGAGUGAUGAAGAACUAGAAAGUGCAGACUUUAUUAUGAGUUUCACAAUAUAAUGAGUAAAAUAUAGGAAUGAUCAUUUAUCCCUAUAUUGGUAAGAUUGAGAUAUUAGUUUUUUUUUGUGUGCCAAACUAGUACAAAUUUCAUUUCAUUCUCCCUAAACGUAAUUCUUCCAACAAAAUGGGGCAUUACAUAAAGGUAUAAAGAUGAGGAGAUUAAAGAUUGACAGCUGCGAUAAGGGAAGGUAUGGAAAACAUGUGUAACUAUAUAAAUGUCGAACACCAAUAAGAUCCAAAUAACUCAGAUAACAUCCAAACUCAGUAACAAAUUGGUUAACAGAUAAAAUUCAGAAGCGAAUGCAAAAUAGUUUAUAAAAUUAGAUUCUAAGAUUCAAAAUUUCUAGUAUUCAGAUUAUAUGCAGAUGAAAGAGGAAGGGAGAUUUAUUGAAUAAUUUAGGCUUGACAAAACACAAUAAAAUGAUACACAUAGACUAGUAUACUCUAAUACUUAAUGAGCAGCAUAUAUUCUUAUUCUUAACUACCGUCUAUUCUAUUAUAUCAAAGAAACAUAAAUUAUUGCAAAGCUGUAAAUUCACAUUAAGAAGCUUAAACAAAUUACACAACUAGAAAUCAACCACUCAAAUUGGAUAUAAUUGGAUAAAUAUCUAAAGAGAUCAUAACUAAGAACCCUAAUUUCAAAGUUAUAAAUGUAUGUAUAUAAAUGAUUCAAAAAUCAGAACUCUGUAACACAAAAAAGCUAGCUGAACUGAGAUGAAGUAGAAAGCAGCAACAAAACAUUUAUGAAUUAAAUAUCUAAAGCUGAUCUAAUUACAAACAUCAACUCACAGUUAUCAAGAGGGGUGUAUUGGAUUGGGAUUUUAAAUCAUUUUUUUGCAUUCAUGAAAUCCGAGGGUAUUCGAUUGAGAUUAUUUGAAAUGCAUUAAAAUCUUGGGGUAUUCAAUUGGGAUUUUGAAUUAUGCUACAAAAUCUGGUGGUAUUCAAUUGGGAUUUUAAAUUAUGCUUUAAAAUCCGGUGGUAUUCAAUUCGGAUUGUUUAAAAUCCAUUAAAAUCUGAUGGUAUUCAAAUGUUGUCGGAUUUUUUUUCAUUUCAUAAAAUGGUGGAUUUUGUGGCAUUGUUCGAUGUAUUUUAAGUUUUAUGAAAUCCCACCAAAAUCAAUGGGAUUUUGAAGCAUUGUGCUUAAAUCCUAUCAACUCUGCGACAUUUCAUCAAGAAUCCGCACAAAAUCAAAAUCACAUGCAAUCCAUUAAAAUCCAUAGACUAAAAACAAUCCAUUAAAAUCUCAAUCGAAUACACCCCCGCAAUUUAUUAAUCAGAUGAGAGGAAGGAAGGGAGAGGGUCAGAGGGAGAGGGAGAGGGAGAGAGAGAGAGAGAGAGGAGUUACAGUGCUACGGCGACGUUCAGCGGCGAUGGAGAAGCCAAAAGCGACCAAGCAUAGUAUUAUUACAAGAAGAUGAACGAGAGAUGAGCCUUUCCCUGCCCCCAUUAUUGUUUCUAAGGGCAUCUUUGAUCACAAUUUCAAGCUUCAUAUUUUUUUCACUUUUAAUUUUAUAGAUAGAUUAAUCAAUCUCCAAUCAUCCAUUUAUCUUCCUAUGUAAAGUCAUUUACUAGAUAAAUUAUAUUAUUUUAUAAAAAAAAAUUAAAUAACGAAAUAUAUGAUCUUUCUCGGAUGAAGAUAACUUGCAAAUUUAAUGGUAUAGUUUAGAAAUUGGGGUUGAGAAGUACCAGUAGUUAUGCUAUAUUUACCUGAUGAUCUCGUAUCGUAACUUUUUUUACACGUGGGAUUUUUUUGCUUACAGCUCAUACUCUAUAACACACUUCCGCCAUUUCACAUGUGACUUCAUCUUUUGACCAGGGUUCUGUAAAUAGAAUUUUGAGCAAGAUCCCCUUAAUACAUAACUGAAUAAACAACACUCGUAGAGAUGAAUUCUGCUGGCGGAACUAGGGAAGAAACCCUAGCUUAGUCAAAGUUUUUUUUUUCUUCCAGAUAUUUGUUUUUUUUCAGAUAUUUUUUUAUUUGAGCUCUUAAAAAUAACAGUGAACCAAUAAAAAGUAUUUAUUGUGCAAAUUUUAAUUCUAGAUUAUUUUGAUUCAUGUCAUAUUGUCAUUGACUAACAGGCCAAAGUCAUUUUGUUAAUGGGCUCUAUUUUCUUGACCAAAAUCAUACUGUUUCCCCUACUAUUAUCCUGAGCCCAUGUUUUCAAAUUUCAAUUACGCCCAACCACCAGUCCAGAGUAGUUGUUGUUGGGCCACAAGGUAACCAUCCAAUGUCUAAACUAAUCAUAGUCCAAAUAAAAUUUUUUCAUAAAAACUGCGUGUACGUGAAUCCAGGGCAGAGGACUGAACAUGACUCCACUUGAGUUGAGCAAGAAAACCGCAAUCAUAUAUCUUUGAUUUUUAAAAUUGAAAACCGCAACCGUCAAUCGGGGUCGGUUUCGGUUUCGGUUUAAGAAACUUCGAUUCGGUUAAUAGUCGGCUCGGUUUCGAUUACAAAAUCGACAAAUAUAAGAAUGAAAAAUAGUACACAAACGAGACAAAUUAAUGCACGUAAUCUAGACAUAAUAAUUAAUAUAAUAUUAAAAUUUAACAAAAGUAACCGUAUUUUAUUUAAAACACUCUUGCCAGUAAUAUAAAACUAGUCUUAGUCAGAAUUUUCAUACAGAAUACGAAUCAGAACUUCCGGCUGAUUGGCUUUUUUAACACAUGCUUCAUGAAGAUUGAGAAAAUGUGACAGGGAAAAUAGGAAAUACAGAUUGGCAGUGGCCAGUCAGCAUGAGAUAUUCACUGAACAUCAAAUAUUAACAUAGACGGAUGUUUCUGUAAGUGUUAGAAUAGAUUUAUUAUAUUUAUUACAUAUUACAUAUAUUAUUUAUUAUUAUUUUAAUAACCGGUUCCGUUUGGUUUUUAUUGGUUCGGUUGGGAGGUAUAACCGGAACCAAACCGUUUAAAUCAGAUCAAUUUUUAAUUUUUCGGUUUCUAAUUGGUUUUUUUGAGUUUUUCCAAAUUUCGAUUCGUUUUGAUUUUAAAUCGGUUUUUUGCUAAGUCCUAAAUUAAGGUAUGGGUUCAAUUAUAGACAAGGUUAAGCUUACUUUUUAAAAAGUCUAACAUCACAAGUAAAUGGUUCACAAGUAAAUGGUCUUAAAACUAUAAAGAAACCAGGAUUGAAGCUCAAAAAUUAUCACCACUACACCCUUUUUUCGUGGUGCAACAAAUUUGGCCUAAAUCAAACGCAAAUCAAACGCAUUUAUACAAGACAAAUGACAGUCUUAAUAUAGGAUUACCCCAUUUUGGUUCAACCAUGAACACUGUUUGAACUAUGCGAUAGUUUCUUUACUAAAAUAUACUUCAGACUCUGGAACUGGAAGGACUAUGGGCCACUUAAAUGCAGCAUAUAUCUUGCAAUUUGAGCUCGAUAAUGGCAAAUUCCAAAUGCAAUCUAUCCACACAUUACACUCAAGUGCGAAAGAAUGAUCCAUGUAUUUUAAGGGUUUUGGUUCCUGGCAUGUGUACAUCAGGGAGUACUUAUAUAACAUACUGAUUUUGGAUCGUUGGAUGAUAUAUGCAUCUAACGGACAUAAUUAUAAAAAAAAUUCGUCAUGCUCAAUUUUUUUUUAUUUGUUUUUUUGCAUAUGAUAUGUAACUUGAAUAAUAAGAGGAAGGGGGAAAGUGAUGCAACUGCAAUUGAAGAAGUCAGUAGUCACUUAUUUAAAUUUCAAAGUACAAAGCCCAAAUAAGCAAUUUCCAAAGAGCUAAGCAAUGAAGGGCCAAGAAAUGGCUAGCUACUGCUAAAGAAAGCAAGUCCUCAUUCCUUGAUCAGAAGAGAUAAGGCAACCGCUCUCAUGCCACGUGUCAACUCAAUAAGAGUGUUUAAUGAUAAGGCAACCAAUCCAAAUUGCUCACACUGUGUGGCUACCAUGUUGCCUUGUCAACUUCACUGUAAUUCAAUGGUCAGAAAAAUUCUGAACUUUAGGAGGUGAAUUGGGAACCAUUGGAUCAGCAGGUUAAACGAUAAUGAGAUGAAAUGCCUAUAUAUUGGAUAGGUGAAGGAACAGAAGCAAGCCUCUCAAACACAAGAGAAGAAAGUAAAAGAACAAGAAGAGAGUAUUAGUACUCAUGGCUUCUUCAAUGAUAUCAUCAGUAGCACCGGUUACCCGUGCAUCCCCUGCUCAGGCUAACAUGGUCGCGCCUUUCACCGGCCUCAAGUCCAUCGCAUCAUUCCCCGUCACCCGAAAGCUUGAGAAUGACAUUACCUCUAUUACCAGCAACGGAGGAAGAGUUCAAUGCAUGAAGGUAUAUAUCUAUACUACUUAAUACUCAGAUAUAUUAUGUGCUAAUGAGGAACCAGUAUAACAUGGCAGAACAUUUCUUAGUUAGUUAUUGCUCAUUUGCUCUCAAAGUAGCACAAUUCUAAGUCAGAUAAAGCAGUCCUAGGUAACUUUAGAGUGAGUAACUUCAGAAUUUUCCUUGAAUAUGUCAAUAAUAUACAAAAAUUAUGUCAACACCUCGAUUAAAAGAUUGUUUUGCUUGUAUUUUCCUCCUGAGCUGAUCUGAGAAAUUUUGUUCUCAAGUCAAACAAUUAGAGACUUUAGCUCAAGAGAAAUGUCACCCCCUGGCAUUGUAGCCUGCGGGAUGUCCUCUAUAUUUUACCAUAGUAACCAUGUCGCCCCUCAAGUGAAGUAGAAUUUAAUUCAAUAAUGAAAUUGAACUACCCAGUAGAGGAAAUUUCUAGUUUUUUUGUAUAAUUUCCACCUUAGCUUGCUCUUAGUAACCCCCCUCAGUCUCAUUAAAUAGUCGGAAAUGUAUAUUCUUAUGAAGACAUGAUCACGUUCUUCAAAUUUUGCAAUCCAACACUGUUUCUAGACAAAUAUACAAUCUGUCGGUUUGUAAUUGAGUAAAUAUGACAUUCACAAAAUAUAUCAAGGAGAACACACCUUGGUUCUGAAAGUGAAUGAUAAAUUAGUUAGGUAACAUAUGUGAAUGGUGCAAGUGCAGGUAUGGCCACCAAUUAACAUGAAGAAGUUCGAGACACUCUCAUACCUUCCUCCUCUCACCACCGAACAAUUGGCAAAGGAGGUCGACUACCUUCUCCGUUCCGGAUGGGUUCCUUGUCUGGAAUUCGAGUUGGAGGUAAGCACUUUCUUCCUACACAUUUUUCAUGUUCUCUGUUACAUGUUUCUUGACAUUGCUGAUGACAAUUGUGUGUUAAACCAAUAUGCAGCACGGUUUCGUGUACCGUGAGCACAACAAAUCUCCCGGAUACUAUGACGGACGAUACUGGGUUAUGUGGAAGCUUCCCAUGUUCGGGUGCACCGACUCAUCGCAGGUGUUGAAGGAGCUUGAUGAGUGCGUCAAGGAGUACCCCCAGGCGUACGUCCGUAUCAUCGGAUUCGACAACGUUCGCCAAGUCCAGUGCAUCAGUUUCAUUGCUCACCAGCCAGAAUGCUGAUCAAUCUGUCUGUUGAUUUCAUAUAUUUAUCAAUCUUGUUCGGCUCAUAUAUAAACUUCUUGCAAUCUCAUUUCAUUUCUUUCCGUUUUAAAUUUCUUACUUGUAUCUCCAACACAAGGAAAUUGGAACUAUAGAGGAUUAUAUGUAGCGAUUGUUGGUGAUUAUAUAUAUCUACUUGUUUGUUUUCCCUGCACCUUCUAAAUACUUGCAUCAUAUGCUUUCAUGUCGUGAUGUACUUUUUUAUAUAUCUCCGAUUCUCCAUGCAGUAAUUAACCACUACGGUCUUUUUACACCAACAAAUUAUAUGAUAACAUAUAGAAACAGUUCAUUGCUUCCGUAAUAUCUGCCUUGGUACAUGUUCUCUUGUAUCACUACAAAACCUUUCACGUCCAACAAUGUGAAAGCAAAUUCUCUGUAAUAGAAAUGGACAUCUGCUAGCGACAUUUCAGAUAAUAAUAAAGUGUACUUAUGCACCAUCUGGUUGGAAGGAAUGAACGGGAAAAACAUGAACAAAAUCAAAGGUAAACGAGAAGUAUACAAGAGUGAAGAGUGAUGAAGAACUAGAAAGUGCAGACUUUAUUAUGAGUUUCACAAUAUAAUGAGUAAAAUAUAGGAAUGAUCAUUUAUCCCUAUAUUGGUAAGAUUGAGAUAUUAGUUUUUUUUUGUGUGCCAAACUAGUACAAAUUUCAUUUCAUUCUCCCUAAACGUAAUUCUUCCAACAAAAUGGGGCAUUACAUAAAGGUAUAAAGAUGAGGAGAUUAAAGAUUGACAGCUGCGAUAAGGGAAGGUAUGGAAAACAUGUGUAACUAUAUAAAUGUCGAACACCAAUAAGAUCCAAAUAACUCAGAUAACAUCCAAACUCAGUAACAAAUUGGUUAACAGAUAAAAUUCAGAAGCGAAUGCAAAAUAGUUUAUAAAAUUAGAUUCUAAGAUUCAAAAUUUCUAGUAUUCAGAUUAUAUGCAGAUGAAAGAGGAAGGGAGAUUUAUUGAAUAAUUUAGGCUUGACAAAACACAAUAAAAUGAUACACAUAGACUAGUAUACUCUAAUACUUAAUGAGCAGCAUAUAUUCUUAUUCUUAACUACCGUCUAUUCUAUUAUAUCAAAGAAACAUAAAUUAUUGCAAAGCUGUAAAUUCACAUUAAGAAGCUUAAACAAAUUACACAACUAGAAAUCAACCACUCAAAUUGGAUAUAAUUGGAUAAAUAUCUAAAGAGAUCAUAACUAAGAACCCUAAUUUCAAAGUUAUAAAUGUAUGUAUAUAAAUGAUUCAAAAAUCAGAACUCUGUAACACAAAAAAGCUAGCUGAACUGAGAUGAAGUAGAAAGCAGCAACAAAACAUUUAUGAAUUAAAUAUCUAAAGCUGAUCUAAUUACAAACAUCAACUCACAGUUAUCAAGAGGGGUGUAUUGGAUUGGGAUUUUAAAUCAUUUUUUUGCAUUCAUGAAAUCCGAGGGUAUUCGAUUGAGAUUAUUUGAAAUGCAUUAAAAUCUUGGGGUAUUCAAUUGGGAUUUUGAAUUAUGCUACAAAAUCUGGUGGUAUUCAAUUGGGAUUUUAAAUUAUGCUUUAAAAUCCGGUGGUAUUCAAUUCGGAUUGUUUAAAAUCCAUUAAAAUCUGAUGGUAUUCAAAUGUUGUCGGAUUUUUUUUCAUUUCAUAAAAUGGUGGAUUUUGUGGCAUUGUUCGAUGUAUUUUAAGUUUUAUGAAAUCCCACCAAAAUCAAUGGGAUUUUGAAGCAUUGUGCUUAAAUCCUAUCAACUCUGCGACAUUUCAUCAAGAAUCCGCACAAAAUCAAAAUCACAUGCAAUCCAUUAAAAUCCAUAGACUAAAAACAAUCCAUUAAAAUCUCAAUCGAAUACACCCCCGCAAUUUAUUAAUCAGAUGAGAGGAAGGAAGGGAGAGGGUCAGAGGGAGAGGGAGAGGGAGAGAGAGAGAGAGAGAGGAGUUACAGUGCUACGGCGACGUUCAGCGGCGAUGGAGAAGCCAAAAGCGACCAAGCAUAGUAUUAUUACAAGAAGAUGAACGAGAGAUGAGCCUUUCCCUGCCCCCAUUAUUGUUUCUAAGGGCAUCUUUGAUCACAAUUUCAAGCUUCAUAUUUUUUUCACUUUUAAUUUUAUAGAUAGAUUAAUCAAUCUCCAAUCAUCCAUUUAUCUUCCUAUGUAAAGUCAUUUACUAGAUAAAUUAUAUUAUUUUAUAAAAAAAAAUUAAAUAACGAAAUAUAUGAUCUUUCUCGGAUGAAGAUAACUUGCAAAUUUAAUGGUAUAGUUUAGAAAUUGGGGUUGAGAAGUACCAGUAGUUAUGCUAUAUUUACCUGAUGAUCUCGUAUCGUAACUUUUUUUACACGUGGGAUUUUUUUGCUUACAGCUCAUACUCUAUAACACACUUCCGCCAUUUCACAUGUGACUUCAUCUUUUGACCAGGGUUCUGUAAAUAGAAUUUUGAGCAAGAUCCCCUUAAUACAUAACUGAAUAAACAACACUCGUAGAGAUGAAUUCUGCUGGCGGAACUAGGGAAGAAACCCUAGCUUAGUCAAAGUUUUUUUUUUCUUCCAGAUAUUUGUUUUUUUUCAGAUAUUUUUUUAUUUGAGCUCUUAAAAAUAACAGUGAACCAAUAAAAAGUAUUUAUUGUGCAAAUUUUAAUUCUAGAUUAUUUUGAUUCAUGUCAUAUUGUCAUUGACUAACAGGCCAAAGUCAUUUUGUUAAUGGGCUCUAUUUUCUUGACCAAAAUCAUACUGUUUCCCCUACUAUUAUCCUGAGCCCAUGUUUUCAAAUUUCAAUUACGCCCAACCACCAGUCCAGAGUAGUUGUUGUUGGGCCACAAGGUAACCAUCCAAUGUCUAAACUAAUCAUAGUCCAAAUAAAAUUUUUUCAUAAAAACUGCGUGUACGUGAAUCCAGGGCAGAGGACUGAACAUGACUCCACUUGAGUUGAGCAAGAAAACCGCAAUCAUAUAUCUUUGAUUUUUAAAAUUGAAAACCGCAACCGUCAAUCGGGGUCGGUUUCGGUUUCGGUUUAAGAAACUUCGAUUCGGUUAAUAGUCGGCUCGGUUUCGAUUACAAAAUCGACAAAUAUAAGAAUGAAAAAUAGUACACAAACGAGACAAAUUAAUGCACGUAAUCUAGACAUAAUAAUUAAUAUAAUAUUAAAAUUUAACAAAAGUAACCGUAUUUUAUUUAAAACACUCUUGCCAGUAAUAUAAAACUAGUCUUAGUCAGAAUUUUCAUACAGAAUACGAAUCAGAACUUCCGGCUGAUUGGCUUUUUUAACACAUGCUUCAUGAAGAUUGAGAAAAUGUGACAGGGAAAAUAGGAAAUACAGAUUGGCAGUGGCCAGUCAGCAUGAGAUAUUCACUGAACAUCAAAUAUUAACAUAGACGGAUGUUUCUGUAAGUGUUAGAAUAGAUUUAUUAUAUUUAUUACAUAUUACAUAUAUUAUUUAUUAUUAUUUUAAUAACCGGUUCCGUUUGGUUUUUAUUGGUUCGGUUGGGAGGUAUAACCGGAACCAAACCGUUUAAAUCAGAUCAAUUUUUAAUUUUUCGGUUUCUAAUUGGUUUUUUUGAGUUUUUCCAAAUUUCGAUUCGUUUUGAUUUUAAAUCGGUUUUUUGCUAAGUCCUAAAUUAAGGUAUGGGUUCAAUUAUAGACAAGGUUAAGCUUACUUUUUAAAAAGUCUAACAUCACAAGUAAAUGGUUCACAAGUAAAUGGUCUUAAAACUAUAAAGAAACCAGGAUUGAAGCUCAAAAAUUAUCACCACUACACCCUUUUUUCGUGGUGCAACAAAUUUGGCCUAAAUCAAACGCAAAUCAAACGCAUUUAUACAAGACAAAUGACAGUCUUAAUAUAGGAUUACCCCAUUUUGGUUCAACCAUGAACACUGUUUGAACUAUGCGAUAGUUUCUUUACUAAAAUAUACUUCAGACUCUGGAACUGGAAGGACUAUGGGCCACUUAAAUGCAGCAUAUAUCUUGCAAUUUGAGCUCGAUAAUGGCAAAUUCCAAAUGCAAUCUAUCCACACAUUACACUCAAGUGCGAAAGAAUGAUCCAUGUAUUUUAAGGGUUUUGGUUCCUGGCAUGUGUACAUCAGGGAGUACUUAUAUAACAUACUGAUUUUGGAUCGUUGGAUGAUAUAUGCAUCUAACGGACAUAAUUAUAAAAAAAAUUCGUCAUGCUCAAUUUUUUUUUAUUUGUUUUUUUGCAUAUGAUAUGUAACUUGAAUAAUAAGAGGAAGGGGGAAAGUGAUGCAACUGCAAUUGAAGAAGUCAGUAGUCACUUAUUUAAAUUUCAAAGUACAAAGCCCAAAUAAGCAAUUUCCAAAGAGCUAAGCAAUGAAGGGCCAAGAAAUGGCUAGCUACUGCUAAAGAAAGCAAGUCCUCAUUCCUUGAUCAGAAGAGAUAAGGCAACCGCUCUCAUGCCACGUGUCAACUCAAUAAGAGUGUUUAAUGAUAAGGCAACCAAUCCAAAUUGCUCACACUGUGUGGCUACCAUGUUGCCUUGUCAACUUCACUGUAAUUCAAUGGUCAGAAAAAUUCUGAACUUUAGGAGGUGAAUUGGGAACCAUUGGAUCAGCAGGUUAAACGAUAAUGAGAUGAAAUGCCUAUAUAUUGGAUAGGUGAAGGAACAGAAGCAAGCCUCUCAAACACAAGAGAAGAAAGUAAAAGAACAAGAAGAGAGUAUUAGUACUCAUGGCUUCUUCAAUGAUAUCAUCAGUAGCACCGGUUACCCGUGCAUCCCCUGCUCAGGCUAACAUGGUCGCGCCUUUCACCGGCCUCAAGUCCAUCGCAUCAUUCCCCGUCACCCGAAAGCUUGAGAAUGACAUUACCUCUAUUACCAGCAACGGAGGAAGAGUUCAAUGCAUGAAGGUAUAUAUCUAUACUACUUAAUACUCAGAUAUAUUAUGUGCUAAUGAGGAACCAGUAUAACAUGGCAGAACAUUUCUUAGUUAGUUAUUGCUCAUUUGCUCUCAAAGUAGCACAAUUCUAAGUCAGAUAAAGCAGUCCUAGGUAACUUUAGAGUGAGUAACUUCAGAAUUUUCCUUGAAUAUGUCAAUAAUAUACAAAAAUUAUGUCAACACCUCGAUUAAAAGAUUGUUUUGCUUGUAUUUUCCUCCUGAGCUGAUCUGAGAAAUUUUGUUCUCAAGUCAAACAAUUAGAGACUUUAGCUCAAGAGAAAUGUCACCCCCUGGCAUUGUAGCCUGCGGGAUGUCCUCUAUAUUUUACCAUAGUAACCAUGUCGCCCCUCAAGUGAAGUAGAAUUUAAUUCAAUAAUGAAAUUGAACUACCCAGUAGAGGAAAUUUCUAGUUUUUUUGUAUAAUUUCCACCUUAGCUUGCUCUUAGUAACCCCCCUCAGUCUCAUUAAAUAGUCGGAAAUGUAUAUUCUUAUGAAGACAUGAUCACGUUCUUCAAAUUUUGCAAUCCAACACUGUUUCUAGACAAAUAUACAAUCUGUCGGUUUGUAAUUGAGUAAAUAUGACAUUCACAAAAUAUAUCAAGGAGAACACACCUUGGUUCUGAAAGUGAAUGAUAAAUUAGUUAGGUAACAUAUGUGAAUGGUGCAAGUGCAGGUAUGGCCACCAAUUAACAUGAAGAAGUUCGAGACACUCUCAUACCUUCCUCCUCUCACCACCGAACAAUUGGCAAAGGAGGUCGACUACCUUCUCCGUUCCGGAUGGGUUCCUCGUCUGGAAUUCGAGUUGGAGGUAAGCACUUUCUUCCUACAUAUUUUUCAUGUUCUCUGUUACAUGUUUCUUGACAUUGCUGAUGACAAUUGUGUGUUAAACCAAUAUGCAGCACGGUUUCGUGUACCGUGAGCACAACAAAUCUCCCGGAUACUAUGACGGACGAUACUGGGUUAUGUGGAAGCUUCCCAUGUUCGGGUGCACCGACUCAUCGCAGGUGUUGAAGGAGCUUGAUGAGUGCGUCAAGGAGUACCCCCAGGCGUACGUCCGUAUCAUCGGAUUCGACAACGUUCGCCAAGUCCAGUGCAUCAGUUUCAUUGCUCACCAGCCAGAAUGCUGAUCAAUCUGUCUGUUGAUUUCAUAUAUUUAUCAAUCUUGUUCGGCUCAUAUAUAAACUUCUUGCAAUCUCAUUUCAUUUCUUUCCGUUUUAAAUUUCUUACUUGUAUCUCCAACACAAGGAAAUUGGAACUAUAGAGGAUUAUAUGUAGCGAUUGUUGGUGAUUAUAUAUAUCUACUUGUUUGUUUUCCCUGCACCUUCUAAAUACUUGCAUCAUAUGCUUUCAUGUCGUGAUGUACUUUUUUAUAUAUCUCCGAUUCUCCAUGCAGUAAUUAACCACUACGGUCUUUUUACACCAACAAAUUAUAUGAUAACAUAUAGAAACAGUUCAUUGCUUCCGUAAUAUCUGCCUUGGUACAUGUUCUCUUGUAUCACUACAAAACCUUUCACGUCCAACAAUGUGAAAGCAAAUUCUCUGUAAUAGAAAUGGACAUCUGCUAGCGACAUUUCAGAUAAUAAUAAAGUGUACUUAUGCACCAUCUGGUUGGAAGGAAUGAACGGGAAAAACAUGAACAAAAUCAAAGGUAAACGAGAAGUAUACAAGAGUGAAGAGUGAUGAAGAACUAGAAAGUGCAGACUUUAUUAUGAGUUUCACAAUAUAAUGAGUAAAAUAUAGGAAUGAUCAUUUAUCCCUAUAUUGGUAAGAUUGAGAUAUUAGUUUUUUUUUGUGUGCCAAACUAGUACAAAUUUCAUUUCAUUCUCCCUAAACGUAAUUCUUCCAACAAAAUGGGGCAUUACAUAAAGGUAUAAAGAUGAGGAGAUUAAAGAUUGACAGCUGCGAUAAGGGAAGGUAUGGAAAACAUGUGUAACUAUAUAAAUGUCGAACACCAAUAAGAUCCAAAUAACUCAGAUAACAUCCAAACUCAGUAACAAAUUGGUUAACAGAUAAAAUUCAGAAGCGAAUGCAAAAUAGUUUAUAAAAUUAGAUUCUAAGAUUCAAAAUUUCUAGUAUUCAGAUUAUAUGCAGAUGAAAGAGGAAGGGAGAUUUAUUGAAUAAUUUAGGCUUGACAAAACACAAUAAAAUGAUACACAUAGACUAGUAUACUCUAAUACUUAAUGAGCAGCAUAUAUUCUUAUUCUUAACUACCGUCUAUUCUAUUAUAUCAAAGAAACAUAAAUUAUUGCAAAGCUGUAAAUUCACAUUAAGAAGCUUAAACAAAUUACACAACUAGAAAUCAACCACUCAAAUUGGAUAUAAUUGGAUAAAUAUCUAAAGAGAUCAUAACUAAGAACCCUAAUUUCAAAGUUAUAAAUGUAUGUAUAUAAAUGAUUCAAAAAUCAGAACUCUGUAACACAAAAAAGCUAGCUGAACUGAGAUGAAGUAGAAAGCAGCAACAAAACAUUUAUGAAUUAAAUAUCUAAAGCUGAUCUAAUUACAAACAUCAACUCACAGUUAUCAAGAGGGGUGUAUUGGAUUGGGAUUUUAAAUCAUUUUUUUGCAUUCAUGAAAUCCGAGGGUAUUCGAUUGAGAUUAUUUGAAAUGCAUUAAAAUCUUGGGGUAUUCAAUUGGGAUUUUGAAUUAUGCUACAAAAUCUGGUGGUAUUCAAUUGGGAUUUUAAAUUAUGCUUUAAAAUCCGGUGGUAUUCAAUUCGGAUUGUUUAAAAUCCAUUAAAAUCUGAUGGUAUUCAAAUGUUGUCGGAUUUUUUUUCAUUUCAUAAAAUGGUGGAUUUUGUGGCAUUGUUCGAUGUAUUUUAAGUUUUAUGAAAUCCCACCAAAAUCAAUGGGAUUUUGAAGCAUUGUGCUUAAAUCCUAUCAACUCUGCGACAUUUCAUCAAGAAUCCGCACAAAAUCAAAAACACAUGCAAUCCAUUAAAAUCCAUAGACUAAAAACAAUCCAUUAAAAUCUCAAUCGAAUACACCCCCGCAAUUUAUUAAUCAGAUGAGAGGAAGGAAGGGAGAGGGUCAGAGGGAGAGGGAGAGGGAGAGAGAGAGAGAGAGAGGAGUUACAGUGCUACGGCGACGUUCAGCGGCGAUGGAGAAGCCAAAAGCGACCAAGCAUAGUAUUAUUACAAGAAGAUGAACGAGAGAUGAGCCUUUCCCUGCCCCCAUUAUUGUUUCUAAGGGCAUCUUUGAUCACAAUUUCAAGCUUCAUAUUUUUUUCACUUUUAAUUUUAUAGAUAGAUUAAUCAAUCUCCAAUCAUCCAUUUAUCUUCCUAUGUAAAGUCAUUUACUAGAUAAAUUAUAUUAUUUUAUAAAAAAAAAUUAAAUAACGAAAUAUAUGAUCUUUCUCGGAUGAAGAUAACUUGCAAAUUUAAUGGUAUAGUUUAGAAAUUGGGGUUGAGAAGUACCAGUAGUUAUGCUAUAUUUACCUGAUGAUCUCGUAUCGUAACUUUUUUUACACGUGGGAUUUUUUUGCUUACAGCUCAUACUCUAUAACACACUUCCGCCAUUUCACAUGUGACUUCAUCUUUUGACCAGGGUUCUGUAAAUAGAAUUUUGAGCAAGAUCCCCUUAAUACAUAACUGAAUAAACAACACUCGUAGAGAUGAAUUCUGCUGGCGGAACUAGGGAAGAAACCCUAGCUUAGUCAAAGUUUUUUUUUUCUUCCAGAUAUUUGUUUUUUUUCAGAUAUUUUUUUAUUUGAGCUCUUAAAAAUAACAGUGAACCAAUAAAAAGUAUUUAUUGUGCAAAUUUUAAUUCUAGAUUAUUUUGAUUCAUGUCAUAUUGUCAUUGACUAACAGGCCAAAGUCAUUUUGUUAAUGGGCUCUAUUUUCUUGACCAAAAUCAUACUGUUUCCCCUACUAUUAUCCUGAGCCCAUGUUUUCAAAUUUCAAUUACGCCCAACCACCAGUCCAGAGUAGUUGUUGUUGGGCCACAAGGUAACCAUCCAAUGUCUAAACUAAUCAUAGUCCAAAUAAAAUUUUUUCAUAAAAACUGCGUGUACGUGAAUCCAGGGCAGAGGACUGAACAUGACUCCACUUGAGUUGAGCAAGAAAACCGCAAUCAUAUAUCUUUGAUUUUUAAAAUUGAAAACCGCAACCGUCAAUCGGGGUCGGUUUCGGUUUCGGUUUAAGAAACUUCGAUUCGGUUAAUAGUCGGCUCGGUUUCGAUUACAAAAUCGACAAAUAUAAGAAUGAAAAAUAGUACACAAACGAGACAAAUUAAUGCACGUAAUCUAGACAUAAUAAUUAAUAUAAUAUUAAAAUUUAACAAAAGUAACCGUAUUUUAUUUAAAACACUCUUGCCAGUAAUAUAAAACUAGUCUUAGUCAGAAUUUUCAUACAGAAUACGAAUCAGAACUUCCGGCUGAUUGGCUUUUUUAACACAUGCUUCAUGAAGAUUGAGAAAAUGUGACAGGGAAAAUAGGAAAUACAGAUUGGCAGUGGCCAGUCAGCAUGAGAUAUUCACUGAACAUCAAAUAUUAACAUAGACGGAUGUUUCUGUAAGUGUUAGAAUAGAUUUAUUAUAUUUAUUACAUAUUACAUAUAUUAUUUAUUAUUAUUUUAAUAACCGGUUCCGUUUGGUUUUUAUUGGUUCGGUUGGGAGGUAUAACCGGAACCAAACCGUUUAAAUCAGAUCAAUUUUUAAUUUUUCGGUUUCUAAUUGGUUUUUUUGAGUUUUUCCAAAUUUCGAUUCGUUUUGAUUUUAAAUCGGUUUUUUGCUAAGUCCUAAAUUAAGGUAUGGGUUCAAUUAUAGACAAGGUUAAGCUUACUUUUUAAAAAGUCUAACAUCACAAGUAAAUGGUUCACAAGUAAAUGGUCUUAAAACUAUAAAGAAACCAGGAUUGAAGCUCAAAAAUUAUCACCACUACACCCUUUUUUCGUGGUGCAACAAAUUUGGCCUAAAUCAAACGCAAAUCAAACGCAUUUAUACAAGACAAAUGACAGUCUUAAUAUAGGAUUACCCCAUUUUGGUUCAACCAUGAACACUGUUUGAACUAUGCGAUAGUUUCUUUACUAAAAUAUACUUCAGACUCUGGAACUGGAAGGACUAUGGGCCACUUAAAUGCAGCAUAUAUCUUGCAAUUUGAGCUCGAUAAUGGCAAAUUCCAAAUGCAAUCUAUCCACACAUUACACUCAAGUGCGAAAGAAUGAUCCAUGUAUUUUAAGGGUUUUGGUUCCUGGCAUGUGUACAUCAGGGAGUACUUAUAUAACAUACUGAUUUUGGAUCGUUGGAUGAUAUAUGCAUCUAACGGACAUAAUUAUAAAAAAAAUUCGUCAUGCUCAAUUUUUUUUUAUUUGUUUUUUUGCAUAUGAUAUGUAACUUGAAUAAUAAGAGGAAGGGGGAAAGUGAUGCAACUGCAAUUGAAGAAGUCAGUAGUCACUUAUUUAAAUUUCAAAGUACAAAGCCCAAAUAAGCAAUUUCCAAAGAGCUAAGCAAUGAAGGGCCAAGAAAUGGCUAGCUACUGCUAAAGAAAGCAAGUCCUCAUUCCUUGAUCAGAAGAGAUAAGGCAACCGCUCUCAUGCCACGUGUCAACUCAAUAAGAGUGUUUAAUGAUAAGGCAACCAAUCCAAAUUGCUCACACUGUGUGGCUACCAUGUUGCCUUGUCAACUUCACUGUAAUUCAAUGGUCAGAAAAAUUCUGAACUUUAGGAGGUGAAUUGGGAACCAUUGGAUCAGCAGGUUAAACGAUAAUGAGAUGAAAUGCCUAUAUAUUGGAUAGGUGAAGGAACAGAAGCAAGCCUCUCAAACACAAGAGAAGAAAGUAAAAGAACAAGAAGAGAGUAUUAGUACUCAUGGCUUCUUCAAUGAUAUCAUCAGUAGCACCGGUUACCCGUGCAUCCCCUGCUCAGGCUAACAUGGUCGCGCCUUUCACCGGCCUCAAGUCCAUCGCAUCAUUCCCCGUCACCCGAAAGCUUGAGAAUGACAUUACCUCUAUUACCAGCAACGGAGGAAGAGUUCAAUGCAUGAAGGUAUAUAUCUAUACUACUUAAUACUCAGAUAUAUUAUGUGCUAAUGAGGAACCAGUAUAACAUGGCAGAACAUUUCUUAGUGAGUUAUUGCUUUCAAAGUAGCACAAUUUUAAGUCAGAUAAAGUAGUCCUAGGUAACUUUAGAGUGAGCAUAACUUUGGAAUUUUCCUUGAAUAUGUAAAUAAUUUACAAAUAUUAUGUCAACACUUCAAAUAAAAGAUGGUUUUGCUUGUAUUUUCCUCCCGAUCUGAUCUGAGAAAUUUUGUUGUCAAGUCAAACAAUUAGAUACUUUAGCUCAAGAGAAAUGUCACUCCCUGGCAAUCCUGGGGGAUAACUUCUAUAUUUUACCAUAGUAACAGGAGUUUGAGAGUCCAAGAUUCGCAGAAAACAUGUGUGUGUCAAUGUGUGAAAGCCUAAUCAUGUCGCCCCUCAAGUGAAGUAGAUUUUAAUUCAAAAUAGAGAUGUGUGAGAACCUAAUCAUGUCCAAGUUUUUUGUAUGAUUUUCACCUUAGCUUGCUCUCAGUAACCCCUCUCUUAGUCUCAUUAAACAGUGACUCUGAAAUGUAUAUUCUUUUAAAGACAUGAUCACGUUCUUCAAAUUUUGCAAUCCAACACUUUUUGUCAAAAAAUAUACUACAAUCUGUCGGUUUCUAAUCGAGUAAAUAUGACAUUCACAAAGUAUAUCACUGAGAACACACCAUGGUGUGAGAGUGAAUAAGAAAUUAGUUAGCUAACAUAUGUGAAUGGUGCAAGCGCAGGUAUGGCCACCAAUUAACAUGAAGAAGUUCGAGACACUCUCGUACCUUCCUCCUCUCACCACCGAACAAUUGGCAAAGGAGGUCGACUACCUUCUCCGUUCCGGAUGGGUUCCUUGUCUGGAAUUCGAGUUGGAGGUAACCACUUUCUUCCUACACAUUUUUCAUGUUCUCUGUUACAUGUUUCUUGACAUUGCUGAUGACAAUUGUGUGUUAAACCAAAAUGUAGCACGGUUUCGUGUACCGUGAGCACAACAAAUCCCCCGGAUACUAUG
rnacentral:lncRNA from 1 species